AUUGAACGCUGGCGGCAGGCCUAACACAUGCAAGUCGAGCGAGUGGCGGACGGGUGAGUAAUGUCUGGGAAACUGCCCGAUGGAGGGGGAUAACUACUGGAAACGGUAGCUAAUACCGCAUACCAUCGGAUGUGCCCAGAUGGGAUUAGCUUGUAGGUGAGGUAACGGCUCACCUAGGCGACGAUCCCUAGCGGGUCUGAGAGGAUGCCCAGCCACACUGUAACUGGGACACGGUCCAAACUCCUACGGGUGGCAGCGGUGGGGAAUAUUGCAAAAUGGGCUCAAGCCGGAUGCAGCCAGGCCGCGUGUAUGAAGAAGGCCUUCGGGUUGUAAAUUACUUUCAGCGAGGAGGCGUUACCCGCAGAAGAAGCACAGGCUAACUCCGUGCCAGCCGCCGCGGUAAUAC
rnacentral:rRNA from 1 species